rnacentral:rRNA from 1 species
GUGUCAGCCGCCGCGGUAAGACAGAGGGUGCAAACGUUGUUCGGAAUUACUGGGCGUAAAGCGCGUGUAGGCUGCCCCGCAAGUCGGAUGUGAAAGCCCUGGGCUCAACCUAGGAAGUGCAUUCGAAACUGCGGGGCUGGAGUCCUGGAGAGGAUAGCGGAAUUCUCGGUGUAGAGGUGAAAUUCGUAGAUAUCGAGAGGAACACCGGUGGCGAAGGCGGCUAUCUGGACAGUGACUGACGCUGAGACGCGAAAGCGUGGGGAGCAAACAGGAUUAGAUACCCUGGUAGUCCACGCCGUAAACGAUGGGUGCUAGGUGUCAGGGGCUUUGACCCCUCUGGUGCCGAAGCUAACGCAUUAAGCACCCCGCCUGGGGAGUACGGCCGCAAGGCUAAA